UGUUUGGAUUGGUCGCCAUCCUCAUCUACAUCACCGGAGUCUCCGAUCUCUAUGAGAUCAAUCGGCUCACCGAUGAUGAUUUGGAAGCGCUGCAAAAUCUGCAAAGCCGUUUCCAGAAAUGUGUGGCUGCGAAUGGAUUAGGUUUACAAGCUGAGAG